CCCCCCACUUUGUCUGGUUGUUAGCCAAUGUAACCUAGGGAGAUUGUGAAUCCAAUGUAGUUAUGUCUGGGUGUCUAAUGUCUUUGUAGUUCUGUAAAAGUUCUGCUAUACCUCAGACUGAAAUUGCAAUAAAAAGAAACUAUGCUUUAAAGUUAUUGAAGUUAUUCAUAACAUUUCCUGUUGCCAGGUGAGAUACGCCUUGUUGAUUCCUCGCUUCACCUGCCAAGUCCGUCCCAUAUCAUGCUUUGUGUGGAUUCCAUUUUCUUUUGAGGCCUGUUUUUUCUUUUCUUCACAAGCACCCACACAAACACUCCAGUUCCUUACACACACACCCUUCAUACAUAUAUAUAUUUAAUAUAGUGAAAUAGUUAACAUGCAUCACAAUUCAUAAUUGCCUUUCUAACUAUUGCAAUUUGUUUUCAAUUCCAGA
rnacentral:lncRNA from 1 species